rnacentral:rRNA from 1 species
UGAGUAAUGUCUGGGAAACUGCCUGAUGGAGGGGGAUAACUACUGGAAACGGUAGCUAAUACCGCAUAACGUCGCAAGACCAAAGAGGGGGACCUUCGGGCCUCUUGCCAUCAGAUGUGCCCAGAUGGGAUUAGCUAGUAGGUGGGGUAAUGGCUCACCUAGGCGACGAUCCCUAGCUGGUCUGAGAGGAUGACCAGCCACACUGGAACUGAGACACGGUCCAGACUCCUACGGGAGGCAGCAGUGGGGAAUAUUGCACAAUGGGCGCAAGCCUGAUGCAGCCAUGCCGCGUGUGUGAAGAAGGCCUUCGGGUUGUAAAGCACUUUCAGCGAGGAAGGAAGGUGGUGAGCUUAAUACGCUCAUCAAUUGACGUUACUCGCAGAAGAAGCACCGGCUAACUCCGUGCCAGCAGCCGCGGUAAUACGGAGGGUGCAAGCGUUAAUCGGAAUUACUGGGCGUAAGCGCACGCAUGCGGUUUGUUAAGUCAGAUGUGAAUCCCCGGG